GCCUCCAUGGCUCAGUGGUAGAGCGUCUCACUAGUACUACUCCUCUUGAUCAUCUCAAGCGGGGGACGACUGACAUAUGAGAAGGUCAGCGGUUCGACUCCGCUUGGAGGCA